AAAACUUUCAACAACGGAUCUCUUGGUUCUGGCAUCGAUGAAGAACGCAGCGAAAUGCGAUAAGUAAUGUGAAUUGCAGAAUUCAGUGAAUCAUCGAAUCUUUGAACGCACAUUGCGCCCCUUGGUAUUCCGAGGGGCAUGCCUGUCCGAGCGUCAUU
rnacentral:rRNA from 1 species